rnacentral:rRNA from 1 species
AAACCGGAAUGAAUUUAGUGGCGAACCGGUGGAGUAACACGUGAGAAACCUGCCUAUCACAAGGGGAUACCCUCCGGAAAACGGUGAUUAAUACCCCUAUGCCAUCACAAUAUCGCCUGGUAUAGUGAUCAAAGAUUUAUUCGGUGAUAGGAUGGUCUUGCGGCUGAUUAGCUAGUUGGUAAGGUAACUGCUUACCAAGGCAACGAUCAGUAUCCGGCUUGAGAGGGUGAACGGACACACUGGAACUGAGACACGGUCCAGACUCCUACGGGAGGCAGCAGUGGGGAAUUUUGCACAAUGGGGGAAACCCUGAUGCAGCGACGUCGCGUGAACGAUGAAGGCCUUCGGGUUGUAAAGUUCUGUCCUAAGCGAAGAUAAUGACAGUAGCUUAGAAGAAAGCUCCGGCUAAAUACGUGCCAGCAGCCGCGGUAAUACGUAUGGAGCGAGCGUUGUCCGGAAUUAUUGGGCGUAAAGGGUACGUAGGCGGUUAUGUGGGUCUGUAUUAAAAGGCAUUGGCUCAACCAAUGUUCGGUAUGGAAACUGCAUAACUUGAGUAGAUGAGGGGUAAGUGGAAUUCCUAGUGUAGCGGUGAAAUGCUUAGAUAUUAGGAGGAAUACCAGUGGCGAAGGCGACUUACUGGAAUCUAACUGACGCUGAGGUACGAAAGCGUGGGGAGCAAACAGGAUUAGAUACCCUGGUAGUCCACGCAGUAAACGAUGAGUGCUAGGUGUCGGGAGUCAAAUCUCGGCGCCGCCGCUAACGCAUUAAGC